rnacentral:rRNA from 1 species
UACGUAGGGUGCAAGCGUUAAUCGGAAUUACUGGGCGUAAAGCGUGCGCAGGCGGUUGUGCAAGACAGAUGUGAAAUCCCCGGGCUCAACCUGGGAAUUGCAUUUGUGACUGCACGGCUAGAGUGUGUCAGAGGGGGGUAGAAUUCCACGUGUAGCAGUGAAAUGCGUAGAGAUGUGGAGGAAUACCGAUGGCGAAGGCAGCCCCCUGGGAUAACACUGACGCUCAUGCACGAAAGGCGUGGGGAGCAAACAGG